GCUGCUCGUAAUAAUCACACACCUCUUCCUGGGAACACCAGUCUACGAUCGUAUGAUCGGCGAAGAUGUGAUG
rnacentral:ribozyme from 1 species